rnacentral:misc_RNA from 1 species
GUCCUUCGACCCCAAAGAAGCACCCUCUUGUUUGGUUGCUGUGAAAAUCUCCUCCUCCUUAUGGUCAGGUUCAUGAUCCAAGUGAUUCUGAUGAGAGUGAGAGUGAUGAUCAUGAUGAUGAUGACAACAAUGAGAUGAAUGAGAGUGGUGGCUAUGGCCAAGCCACAUGACCAUAAACAAGUUAAGAGUGAAUCCAAAAGCUGCAAUGGCAAACAUAAGGAAACCAUCCACCUUAGUCUUUUGGCUAAGAAUCCGGUCGAUCGCCUCGUAGAUUAAGACCCCAGAAAUCAGC